AUUGAACGCUGGCGGCAGGCCUAACACAUGCAAGUCGAUCGGUAACAGGAAGCAGCUUGCUGCUUCGCUGACGAGUGGCGGACGGGUGAGUAAUGUCUGGGAAACUGCCUGAUGGAGGGGGAUAACUACUGGAAACGGUAGCUAAUACCGCAUAACGUCGCAAGACCAAAGAGGGGGACCUUAGGGCCUCUUGCCAUCGGAUGUGCCCAGAUGGGAUUAGCUAGUAGGUGGGGUAACGGCUCACCUAGGCGACGAUCCCUAGCUGGUCUGAGAGGAUGACCAGCCACACUGGAACUGAGACACGGUCCAGACUCCUACGGGAGGCAGCAGUGGGGAAUAUUGCACAAUGGGCGCAAGCCUGAUGCAGCCAUGCCGCGUGUAUGAAGAAGGCCUUCGGGUUGUAAAGUACUUUCAGCGGGGAGGAAGGGAGUAAAGUUAAUACCUUUGCUCAUUGACGUUACCCGCAGAAGAAGCGCCGGCUAACUCCGUG
rnacentral:rRNA from 1 species